rfam:Felis catus isolate Cinnamon breed Abyssinian chromosome D2, whole genome shotgun sequence.
GCCUGGGUGGCUCAAUCGGUUAAGCAUCCGACUUCAGCUCAGGUCAUGAUCUCACAGUUUGUGGGUUCGAGCCCCACAUUGGGCU